AUUGCUUCUCGGCCUUUUGGCUAAGAUCAAGUGUAUUUUGCCAAAAAUAUUUUUAGGUCCUUCAGAAUAGUAUAUAUAUUUUUCCCUUCUACAGUAUGUGUUUGCACUGGAGACACCUACAGUUGUUGAGUGCAUA
rnacentral:snRNA from 1 species